GAUGAACGCUAGCGGCAGGCCUAAUACAUGCAAGUCGAACGAUGUCUUCGGACAUAGUGGCGCACGGGUGCGUAGCACGUAUGCAACCUACCUUACAUUGGGGGAUAGCCUUUCGAAAGGGAGAUUAAUACCGCAUAAGACAGUAGCUGGGCAUCCAGCAGCUGUUACAGAUUUAUCGAUGUAAGCUGGGCAUGCGUCCAAUUAGCUAGUUGGUGAGGUAACGGCUCACCAAGGCAAUGAUUGGUAGGGGAACUGAGAGGUCAAUCCCCCACACUGGCACUGGGAUACGGGCCAGACUCCUACGGGAGGCAGCAGUAGGGAAUAUUGGGCAAUGGACGCAAGUCUGACCCAGCCAUGCCGCGUGCAGGAUGACGGUCCUAUGGAUUGUAAACUGCUUUUGUACGAGAAGAAACAACAUUACGUGUAAUGUCUUGACGGUAUCGUAAGAAUAAGGAUCGGCUAACUCCGUGCCAGCAGCCGCCGUAAUAC
rnacentral:rRNA from 1 species